UGGCAGGGACUUUCUAUCAAGCAUAUUUUCUGUUACAUCUGUUAAAUACAACGAAGCAACAGAUCCGUUGCUAGUUUGGCUGUGACCAAAUACGCCUUGAAUCUUAACUUUGAGUGCAUUUCUUAUUUUUAACAUCAGUUUAAUAACAAGGGCCAGUAAUAACAUGGGAAGCUAUGACAAAGCGAGACGAUUCGUGUGACGGAGGUAGUGAGCACUGUGACCCCGCCAUUAGAAAUAGCAGACACGUCAAACCAUUAUUUGCGUAUUUUUUUUUUGCCAUGAACUUGUUUUCGCUUCUGCUGUAGCGGAAAGCUUAUUCACUCUGUGCAUGCUACUCCAUCUAAAAAAAUCGCUAAGGUCCUCCUUGCGCAUGGUCCUGGGCUUAUGUGAUAUGAAGGUGAUGCCGAUUGUUACCUACGGAAGUUAAAUUGUUUGCGAACAUCUUUGAUCGAUAGAACUGGAAAAACUCGAUGAAAUCAAACUUUCGCUUUUAAAGCACGCCAUACACCUAUAUUGUUGUUCAGUGCUAAACAGACGCAAGCUUUCUAUCAGCCGCCGCCAAUUCGGACCCUGACUUUCACUAUACGGGAGCUAUAACUAAUGAAGAAUGGAAAAAGUAGAUGUACGUAUUGAUCGACGUGUGGAUGGUCCAGCCUUGCACUGACGUCUCCAAUAGCCAUCUUCAAAAAUCCGUCGUAGGAAAAAAUCCAGAAUCCAUUUUUGUGGGCAAGCCAAGCAGUUUAAGAAAUGGUGACACCGACCCGUACAAUGAGAAGCUAGGUACCAUUCCAGUCUAAAGAUUUACAUAGCUUAAAGACGAGCCAUUCAAGAAGUCUCCCGUCUCAACUUCAAUCCAAACCAGUGCGGUGCACGAUGCGCGCAGUCUCAUCCGUCAAUUAUAUACAUUCAGAAAAACGAAAGAUAAUGCUCAAUACUCACACCACGAUGGGCCAAUACAGCGACUGCAGACAACGGCAUCUGGAUUGAGCUAGAAAACUGUUCAACAUUGCCCCCUUGCAGCCUGGGGCAACGCCUCGUACUACCUCAUAUCGAUAGCUUUAGGUAAAUCCAUGUAAACUUUAUCAUAUCACAAAACAGGCAGAGAAUCAGGGAGAGCUAGUAAAAUUGUCAAACAAAAAAAUUAAUCAUUGACUGCAUGUCAAUCACUGACGAAACCGGUAGCAACGGGAACUCGACCGCCUCCCGUAGCUCUAAACUUUUAGCAACGUUUAGUACAGAAGCAAACCGUAACAAUAUCGUUACACCUAUAAACUGCAGACAAGAUGAAUUACUUCGUGCAGACCACCAAUCGAAAAUCCCUCCAGUACGUUUUGCAAGAAAAGCCACGCUGAUCAUAAAUCGAUGAAACGUGUGAUGUCCUUAGAUUAACUAACUGAAAAGGAGGGCUCGUUCCUGAUGCCUUCAGGAUCGAGCAUGAAGAAUUUAUUCAUUCCUCAGUUAGAUGCCAUAAUA